GAUGAACGCUGGCGGCGUGCUUAACACAUGCAAGUCGAACGAGCGAGAGAGAGCUUGCUUUCUCGAGCGAGUGGCGAACGGGUGAGUAACGCGUGAGGAACCUGCCUCAAAGAGGGGGACAACAGUUGGAAACGACUGCUAAUACCGCAUAAGCCCACGACCCGGCAUCGGGUUGAGGGAAAAGGAGCGAUCCGCUUUGAGAUGGCCUCGCGUCCGAUUAGCUAGUUGGUGAGGUAACGGCCCACCAAGGCGACGAUCGGUAGCCGGACUGAGAGGUUGAACGGCCACAUUGGGACUGAGACACGGCCCAG
rnacentral:rRNA from 1 species